UACGUAGGGUGCGAGCGUUGUCCGGAAUUACUGGGCGUAAAGAGCUCGUAGGCGGUCUGUUGCGUCGGCUGUGAAAACCCGGGGCUCAACCCCGGGCCUGCAGCCGAUACGGGCAGACUAGAGUUCGGCAGGGGAGACUGGAAUUCCUGGUGUAGCGGUGAAAUGCGCAGAUAUCAGGAGGAACACCGGUGGCGAAGGCGGGUCUCUGGGCCGAUACUGACGCUGAGGAGCGAAAGCGUGGGGAGCGAACAGG
rnacentral:rRNA from 1 species